UCGCUAUUCCGAUCGAGCUGCUCUGCCACUCACGACACCCUGGCCCAGAAUCAGGUCGUUUACGAGCCAUUUAGCACCGGGUUCAACACAAACUUGCGGUGCGAGAUCGGAGAGGGUGCAGUGCUUU